CUGCGUUCGCAGAGACUGCAUUCGCAGGUAAAAGCGACGUAUGGAUAAAUUGGAAAUUACCUUUACAUUUCAAUCACUCUAUGAGGCGGAUCUUCCGAGCUCCUAAAUUGUUUUAUUUAUUUAUUUAUCUUUUAUUCUGGUCUCUUGUAUAUGUGUCACUCUUCUUACUUCCUGUGUCACUCUUCCUGCUUCCUGUUUCAGACUCAGACUUCCAGGCCUUCACAGGCUGAUCUGAUUGGCCGUUGCCCAUCUGACCCCUGACCUCUGAGCCUGAGGUCAAAGGUCAAAUCUCCCAUGGUGCACCUUGUCUCUCAGCCCCGCCCCGCGACUUACUGUACCAGCUGAUCAACACUUUUCAAAGUUUUAUUUGAAAAAGAAAAUUAAACUGACAAAUACAAAUGUAUGUACUUCUAUGUGUGAGUGUGUAUAUAGCUAAAUGAAAAGUUUCUUUGUAAAGUAUUUUGAAUCACAAACAACUCAUCUACAUUAAAUCAUUUGCAUUUUAAACUGUCUUAUAGGAGAAUGUGUCCUGGAAAGCAUUUUAAAUCAUGACUACAUGUUUCAAUACCAUGGAAAGGUGUGAUACUAGAGUAAUCUAUAUUCAUUGAAAGCUGAUAAAUUUGCAACUCAAAUAUUUA